UCAGUAUCUGGAGAACACAAAAUUAUAGGGAUCACAGACUCUUCAAUUCAGAGAGAGAGAGAGAGAGUGAGCGACGAGAAAGAAAGAGAGCGACGAGAGAGAGAGUUCGAAUCUUCUAGUGGCGGCAGCGACAUCAUGAAGAACAAGUCAAGAAGAGGAGGAGGACGAUGAUUUACUCAGAUUUAUUAUGUUUGGAGGAUGAAGAUUCAGAACACCAAAAUCGGUGUCGGUCCGGCGUGCUCUUACAGUAAAAACAACAUCAAAACUGUUCGAAUUCAAAAAAGGGUAACAAUGAUUGUUAAAAACAUAGCUCUACAGUUUUUGAUGUAUGUCCGAGUCUCAUUCAGCAAAAAUCAGAGAGUGAUAGAGCCAAAACAAGUCAGAGGUGUGUGUUAAUGUGUUCCAACCCUGACUACGUUGACUCAGAUUUUUUUUCAAGGACGGUACCAAGUAUAUUCAGACCUAAACCGGUUGCCGGAGGAAGGUGUGCGCGUGCUUGUUCGUGUUCCAACUCUCAUCUGAGUGUUUUGCCUUUACUCAGGCACGUCGUUCCAUUACUCACAAGCACUUAAUGCUAAUGAAGUGUGAGGGAUUAUGACCUUAACCAUGGAACACUCCUCUUCUUACUCUCUCAAGGUGCUACUGAAGUUGGAACUCGACAAGGCACCAGAAUUCAAAGCAGCACCCUUUGAACAAAAAAGUUACUUGUCAUUGCCUCAUCCCAACAAUUCCCUUCCACAGGUGUGUGUGUGUGUCCCCGUGUUCCAACCAGGAUGAUGAUUUUGUUUUUGAACAACAAGGUGCUACUCAAGUGUUAGGGAUUAGGACCAUGGAAUACCCCUCUUAUUGCUCUGUGAUACAGAAGCGGAACUCGACAAGGCACCAGAAUCCAACGCAUAAACUUUGAACAAAAAGGGAAAUGAUGAUUGUUAAUAACGUAGUUACAGUUUGAUGUAUGUCCGAUUCUGAUUCAGCAAAUUCAAAGCCAAAAUAAGCCAGAGGUGGUGAAACGAAACAGGUGUGUUCCAACCACGAGGACGUUGACUCAGAUUUUUUCAAGGACAAUACGAAGUAUUUUCAGACCAAAAACAGUUGCCGGUGGGCGUUCUUAAAAGAUACAUGUAUGGUGGUUCACUUCCUUCCCAUUAAUGUUAACGUUGAUGCUGAAUUAUGGACUCAAACGAUGGCAUUGAAUUCCUCUUCUUAUUGCUCUGUGCUACUGAAGUGUUAGGGAUUAUGACCCAGACCAUGGAACACCCUCUUAUUCCUCUGUUGGAACUCGACAAGGCACCAGAAUUCAAAGCAGCACCCUUUGAACAAAACGGUACUUGUCAUUGCCUCAUGCCAACAAUCCCUUUUUAGGUGUGUGUGUGUGUGUGUGUGUGUGUUCGUGUUCCAACCAGGAUGAUGAUUUUGUUUGUGAACAACAAGGUACUACUGAAGUGUUAAAGAUUAUGACCAUGGAACACCCCUCUUCUUGCUCUAAAAAGGUACUUGUCAUGGCCCCAGAAUUCAAAGCUACACCCCUCUUCUUGCUCUAAAAAGGUACUUGUCAUGGCCCCAGAAUUCAAAGCUACACCCCUCUUCUUGCUCUAAAAAGGUACUUGUCAUGGCCCCAGAAUUCAAAGCACCAAUAUUUGAACAAAGAGGUACUUGUCAUGGCCUCAUCCCAACAAUUCCCUUCCACAGGUGUGUGUUCGUGUGUUCCAGCCAGAUUAUUUGGAGGAUGACGUAGAUUCAGACCAAAAAUGGUCGCAGGUGGUCGUUCUUACAGUGACAACAUCAAACUGAUUUUUUAAGAUGAUGAAGAUAUAUGGAGGUUCACUUUCUUUCCAUUGAUGUUAAGGACGAUGCUGACUUAUGGACCCAAACGAUGGAAAAUAUUAUUGCUCUGUGCUAGUGAAGUGUUAGGUAUUAUGACCAAAGACCAUGGAAUACCCCUCUUCUUGCUCUGUGCUACUGAAGUGAAACUCGACAAGGCACCAGAAUUGUCUCAAGCCAAAGGCCGCAGUAAUCAUAAAAAUGUAUAAAGGGAAAUGAGUGUUAAAUACUUAGCUAGCUCUAGCAAUAUGAUUCAUCAAAAUCAAAGCCAUCACAAGGAAAAAGCUAAAUAAUGGAAAAUUAUGACAUGUGAGCCAAUUAUUGUUUCAAAAUCAGCAAGGACUUCACCCCAUAGCACCAGCUUUUACCUGCACCACAAAGAAGUUUCCAACAUCUGCCAUAAUUCAAGGGGCUUCAUCUUCAAACAAUUGCAUUGACUAAUAAUAAUGCAGAGACAUUUUCAAUAGCAGCUUCAACGGAAGUUUCUCAAGUGGAGAAUCAAAAUGUAGAACUCUGUGAUUACUUUGAGGAUUAUGAAAGUUUAGACUACCUGGUAUUUAUACUUUUGAGGGACAGAGUGUUACAUGCUACAGUUUGAUCCGAGUCCGAGAGAGACAGAGAGAGAGAGAGAGAGAGAGAGAUGGAGAGAGCAAACAGACUUGAAGUUGGAACUCCACAAGGCACCAUAAUUCAACGCAUAGCCUUUGAACAAAAAGGUACUUGUCAUUGCCUCAUGCCAAAAAUUCCCUUCCACAGGUGCGUGUUCGUGUGUUCCAAAACCUUUUUUUUUGGAGGAUGAAGUAGAUUCAGACGAAAAACGGUUGCCGGCGGGCGUUCUUACAGUAACAACAUCAUACUGAUUUUUAGAGAUUUCUUGCACAUUUACGUAUAUGUGUGUGUUUGGACGUUAAGUAGACAAGGCACCAGAAUCGUCUCAAGCCAAACAAAGGAAACGAGUGUUAAUGACGUAGCACUGCAUAAUCAAAUGCAAAAGUUUAUGACCAAAUCUUCUUCUUGCUCUGAAUGAAUCAAAAGAGCGAUAAAAAAAAGUAUGGGAGGAGCAGUAGAAAACAGAAGUAUGGGAUGCUCGUUGGGUUUGGCAACGUGUCUAUGAUACAAUCAUACAACGGCUAUAUUUUGACAUUGUCAAUUUUUUUACAUGGCGUCGUGAGUUAGCCUUGAGAGUGACUUAGAUGUUUACAUGACCGAAGAUAUUGUUGACUUCACACGUGAGAGGGAUUAACGACGUAAAAUUACACA